rnacentral:rRNA from 1 species
GAUGAACGCUGGCGGCGUGCCUAAUACAUGCAAGUCGAGCGAACAGACGAGGAGCUUGCUCCUCUGACGUUAGCGGCGGACGGGUGAGUAACACGUGGAUAACCUACCUAUAAGACUGGGAUAACUUCGGGAAACCGGAGCUAAUACCGGAUAAUAUAUUGAACCGCAUGGUUCAAUAGUGAAAGACGGUUUUGCUGUCACUUAUAGAUGGAUCCGCGCCGCAUUAGCUAGUUGGUAAGGUAACGGCUUACCAAGGCAACGAUGCGUAGCCGACCUGAGAGGGUGAUCGGCCACACUGGAACUGAGACACGGUCCAGACGCCUACGAGAGGCAGCAGUAGGGAAUCUUCCGCAAUGGGCGAAAGCCUGACGGAGCAACGCCGCGGGAGUGAUGAAGGUCUUCGGAGCGUAAAACUCUGUUAUUAGGGAAGAACAAAUGUGGAAGUAACUAUGCACGUCUUGACGGUACCUAAUCAGAAGGCCACGACUAACUACGUG